rnacentral:rRNA from 1 species
CUGCAGUUAGGAAUUUGCGCAAUGGCCGCAAGGCUGACGCAGGCAACGCCGCGUGAGGGAGGAAGGCCUUCGGGUCGUAAACCUCUUUUCUGGGGGGAAGAUGGUGACGGUACCCUGGGAAUAAGCCCCGGCUAACUACGUGCCAGCAGCCGCGGUAAUACGUAGGGGGCGAGCGUUGUCCGGAUUUAUUGGGCGUAAAGAGCGCGUAGGCGGUGCUUCGAGUCGUGCGUGAAAGCCCCUGGCUCAACUGGGGAGGGUCGUGCGAUACUGGGGCGCUGGAGGGCGGGAGAGGGAAGCGGAAUUCCCGGUGUAGUGGUGGAAUGCGUAGAUAUCGGGAGGAACACCAGUGGCGAAGGCGGCUUCCUGGUCCGUACCUGACGCUGAGGCGCGAAAGCGUGGGGAGCGAACUGGAUUAGAUACCCAGGUAGUCCACGCUGUAAACGAUGGGUGCUAGGUGCUGGGGGUAUCGACCCCCUCGGUGCCGGAGCUAACGCAUUAAGCACCCCGCCUGGGGAGUACGGCCGCAAGGCUA